rnacentral:rRNA from 1 species
UACGUAGGGGGCAAGCGUUGUCCGGAUUUAUUGGGCGUAAAGCGCGUGUAGGUGGCCAUGUAGGUCCGUUGUGAAAACUUGAGGCUCAACCUCAAGCUGUCGGUGGAAACCACAUGGCUAGAGUCCGGAAGAGGAGAGUGGAAUUCCUGGUGUAGCGGUGAAAUGCGCAGAUAUCAGGAAGAACACCAAUGGCGAAGGCAGCUCUCUGGGACGGUACUGACACUGAGACGCGAAAGCGUGGGGAGCGAACAGG